rnacentral:ncRNA from 1 species
UAUGCUUGCGUAGGUUGAAGCCAGAGGAAACCCUGGUGGAGGACCGUAGCGAUUCUGACGCGCAAAUCGAUCGUCAAACGUGGGUAUA